GCAAAACUCUGAUGCUUUUUUGGUAAAAGCCACUAGGUGGCGUUUCAGGAGCGCGGCCGCCAUUUUGGGGUGAAAAUUCCAACUGGAGUUACUGGACAACAGCAUAGAUAACAGUUUUUUGAGGUAGUUUUUUCUUCUAAUUUUUCCCAAGCGGCAAAAUUCUAAUCUGAAAAAUGAAGCCUACCCGGAAGUGGGAAAAACUGCAAUACAUCGAAAAUCCGCUAGAGGUCGGUCCCAAAAGGGGGUUCCGAGUGCCUGACAACUGUGAGCUGAUAACGGGCUGCG